AUUGAACGCUGGCGGCAGGCCUAACACAUGCAAGUCGACCGAGUGGCGGACGGGUGAGUAAUGUCUGGGAAACUGCACGCUGGCGGGGGAUCACUACUGGAAACGGUAGCGAAUACCGCAUCCCAUCGGCUUUCCCCAGAUGGGAUUAGCUCGUAGGUGGGGUAACGGCGAACCUAGGCGACGAUCCCUAGCGGGUCUGAGAGGAGGACCAGCCACAAGGGAACGGUGACACGGACCAGACGCCUACGGGAGGCAGCAGGGGGGAAGAUUGGAAAAGGGGCGAAAGCCUGAUGCAGACAGGCCGCGUGGAUGAAGAAGGCCUUCGGGUUGUAAAGUACUUUCAGCGGGGAGGCGUUACUCGCAGAAGAAGCACCGGCUAACUCCGUGCCAGCAGCCGCGGUAAUUC
rnacentral:rRNA from 1 species